rnacentral:rRNA from 1 species
CCUACGGGGGGCUGCAGUCGAGAAUCAUUCACAAUGGGGGAAACCCUGAUGGCGCGACGCCGCGUGGGGGAAUGAAGGUCUCCGGAUUGUAAACCCCUGUCAUGUGGGAGCAAAUUAAAAAGAUAGCACCACAAGAGGAAGAGACUGCUAACUAUGUGCCAGCAGCCGCGGUACUACAGAGGUCUCAAGCGUUGUUCGGAAUCACUGGGCGUAAAGCGUGCGUAGGCUGUUUCGUAAGUCGUGUGUGAAAGGCGCGGGCUCAACCCGCGGACGGCACAUGAUACUGCGAGACUAGAGUGAUGGAGAGGUAACCGGAAUUCUCGGGGUAGCAGUGAAAUGCGUAGAUAUCGGGAGGAACACUCGUGGCGAAGGCGGGUUCCUGGACAUUAACUGACGCUGAGGCACGAAGGCCUGGGGAGCGAAAGGGAUUAGAUACCCCAGUAGUC